CCGUUUCCCUAUCUAAAUGCUACUUUUAAUAAAGACCCCUCCCAAUUUGACACCUACCUAAAUUCAUUUUCACCACACUUGUACAUGGAUCCCUUAAGUAAGUGACAGAUUACUAGUUCUACAAACGAUAAUGCAAAGUCGAUAUUUUAUCGAUAAAAUGAUUUUUCUGUACUUCUUAAGAAAUAAACGUCUAUCGAGUAUAUAUUACUAAAGCCUGUGAGUUUUUUUUCUUGUGAUGUUAUUUUAAUUUAACUUAAACUACAUUACGCUAUGUUUUAUGCAAUAGAACAGUAAAGAGGUUUUCUAUAGGUGAAUUUUUACCUAUGUCAUUCGCGCGUUUGUCAAAUUGACUGAUGUGUAUGUGUACAUAGAGUGAGGUUAAUUUUGGGUUUAUUAUUGUUGAAUAGAUAAGUUUAUUUUGGCAGAGAAGAGAAAACGAGGAUAAACCUUUCUUGCAGAAGAAAAAGACAAGCUAGUGAAAUUGCUGACGUCUCAUAGAGACACAAUAUUAAACAAAAAACGGAUGGGACCACGAACGAAGCCAAAAACAAAGCUUGGAUCCAGUCACAAAUACAUAGUUUUAAUGCGACAGGAACCCUUUACAGUUUCAGGUGGUGCGAGAAAUUGGAAAGACGUGUAAAAACAUGCUGCGCCCAGUCCACCUCAAAUUGAAUUGGUGCAGGAGGAUGAUGAUAAUGUUUGGUACAUCAUAUGAGGACUAAUAUUAAAAUAUUUGUUUAC
rnacentral:lncRNA from 1 species